CUGGAAUCUGGUCUAUACCCUUACACACUGAUCUCUUCUAAUGCUUGUAUCUUCACCCCUUGUGGCCAUAUGGUGUUCUGGCUGUUCUCUCCCAUACCCGAGGACCCAGGAGAGGGACCUAAGCUCUGGAAAUGGGAGGACCCAGGAUCCAUUUGUGUUAGCAAGGGAUGAAGAAGCCCAAGAAGUUGGCCCCAACAAGAAGAAGGAGGGCGAAAGCAGUUCCUCAGAAGAAGGACCUGAAAAUGAUCAAGAUAAGGCAUAAAGAAGUCCCUAGAAUCCAG
rnacentral:lncRNA from 1 species